UACGUAGGGUACGAGCGUUAAUCGGAAUUACUGGGCGUAAAGCGUGCGCAGGCGGCUUUGCAAGACAGAUGUGAAAUCCCCGGGCUCAACCUGGGAACUGCAUUUGUGACUGCAAGGCUAGAGUACGGCAGAGGGGGAUGGAAUUCCGCGUGUAGCAGUGAAAUGCGUAGAUAUGCGGAGGAACACCAAUGGCGAAGGCAAUCCCCUGGGCCUGUACUGACGCUCAUGCACGAAAGCGGGGGGAGCAAACAGG
rnacentral:rRNA from 1 species